rnacentral:rRNA from 1 species
GAUGAACGCUGGCGGCGCGCCUAACACAUGCAAGUCGAACGGUUAAAGCACCUGUUAGGUGUGUAUAAAGUGGCGAACGGCUGAGUAACACGUGGGCAACCUGCCCUCCUCUUGGGGAUAGCCUCGGGAAACCGAGGAUAAUACCCGAUACUUCAAUGUGGCCGCAUGACGACAUUGAGAAAGCUUUUGCGGAGAAGGAUGGGCCCGCGGCCUGUUAGCUUGUUGGUGGGGUAGAGGCCUACCAAGGCAAUGAUGGGUAGCUGGGUUGAGAGACCGACCAGCCAGAUUGGGACUGAGACACGGCCCAGACUCCUACGGGAGGCAGCAGUGGGGAAUCUUGCACAAUGGGCGAAAGCCUGAUGCAGCGACGCCGCGUGCGGGAAGAAGGCCUUCGGGUUGUAAACCGCUUUCAGCAGGGACGAGGCGAAAGUGACGGUACCUGCAGAAGAAGCCCCGGCUAACUACGUGCCAGCAGCCGCGGUAAUACGUAGGGGGCAAGCGUUAUCCGGAUUCAUUGGGCGUAAAGCGCUCGUAGGCGGUCUGUUAGGUCGGGAGUUAAAUCCGGAGGCUCAACCUCCGUUCGCUCCCGAUACCGGCAGACUUGAGUUUGGUAGGGGAAGGUGGAAUUCCUAGUGUAGCGGUGGAAUGCGCAGAUAUUAGGAAGAACACCAGUGGCGAAGGCGGCCUUCUGGGCCAUAACUGACGCUGAGGAGCGAAAGCUAGGGGAGCAAACAGG